rnacentral:rRNA from 1 species
AGUAAUGGAGGGGUAACUGGAAUUCUCGGUGUAGCAGUGAAAUGCGUAGAUAUCGAGAGGAAGACCAACGGCGAAGGCAGGUUACUGGACAUUUACUGACGCUGAGGCUCGAAGGCCAGGGGAGCGAAAGGGAUUAGAUACCCCUGUAGUCCUGGCAGUAAACGGUGUGCGCUUGGUGUAGGUGGGUUCGACCCCAUCUGUGCCGGAGCUAACGCGUUAAGCGCACCGCCUGGGGAGUACGGUCGCAAGACUAAAACUCAAAGAAAUUGACGGGGACCCGCACAAGCGGUGGAGUAUGUGGCUUAAUUCGAUGCAACGCGAAGAACCUUACCUGGGCUUGACAUGCAUUGCUAAUUCGGUGAAAGCCGAUGAGUCUUCGGACGCCUUGCACAGGUGCUGCAUGGCCGUCGUCAGCUCGUGUCGUGAGAUGUUCGGUUAAGUCCGGCAACGAGCGCAACCCCUGUGGUUAGUUACUAACAUUAAGUUGAGGACUCUAGCCAGACUGCCCAGAUCAACUGGGAGGAAGGUGGGGAUGACGUCAGGUCAGUAUGGCCCUUACGCCCAGGGCUGCACACGUACUACAAUGCCCAGUACAAUGAGAACCGAGACCGCGAGGUGGAGGAAAUCUACAAAACUGGGCUCAGUUCGGAUUGGAGGCUGCAACUCGCCUCCAUGAAGUUGGAAUCGCUAGUAAUGGCACAUCAGCUACGGUGCCGUGAAUACGUUCCCGGGUCUUGUACACACCGCCCGUCACAUCAUGGAAGCCGAUCGCACCCGAAGUGCCUGCGUCAACAUUGGCAGGGCCCUAAGGUGUAGUUGGUAACUGGGAUGAAGUCGUAACAAGGUAGCCGUAGGGGAACCUGCGG